UAAGGAAUAUUGGACAAUGGAGGCAACUCUGAUCCAGCCAUGCCGCGUGAAGGAAUAAGGCCCUAUGGGUUGUAAACUUCUUUUAGACGGGACAAAACCCCUUUACGUGUAAAGGGUUGAUGGUACUGUCAGAAUAAGCAUCGGCUAACUUCGUGCCAGCAGCCGCGGUAAUACGUAGGACCCAAGCGUUGUCCGGAUUUACUGGGUGUAAAGGGUGCGCAGGCGGAUGGGUAAGUCAGGGGUGAAAGUCUGCAGCUUAACUGUAGAAUUGCCUUUGAUACUGCUCAUCUUGAGUGUGGGAGAGGUUGAUGGAAUUCCAGGUGUAGCAGUGAAAUUCGUAGAUAUCUGGAAGAACACCAGUGGCGAAGGCGGUCAACUGGCCCAUAACUGACGCUCAUGCACGAAAGCGUGGGGAGCAAACA
rnacentral:rRNA from 1 species